rnacentral:lncRNA from 1 species
CUCAGCAGGCUGAGAUUGGAGAAUUACCUGAGCCCAGGAGGUUGAGGCUGCAGUAGGUGCCAGAUUGAGACUGUUUAAAAAAAAUUGCGUGGGGAAGACAGCUGAGACAAGGAUAUUAAAUAAGAAGACAUUUUAUAAGCCUGGCCAUUUGAAGAUAUAGGCUUAGACCAGUAGAUUGUAAUUUAAAUUUUACUUUUUUAUUUUCCAACUCUUUAAUCUCUAGGAAUAACUGGAAAUUUUAAGAAGUUACUAUCUCUGCUAUGGGGAUGGAUAGUCAGACAGCAAUGUUCACAAAUUACUCUUGAAACUUGAUGCAAACAACCUGUUUAAAAACUGAUGUAACGAGAGGAAUUUCAUGGAUGCAAAUGAACACCUGUGAAAAUUCUUCGGCAAGAACUGUUUCAUUUAGCAACACCAGGCUGUACAGGAGGCAUGGCUGGGGAGGCCUCAGAAAACUUACAAUCAUGGCAGAAGGUGAAGGGGAAGCCAGCACAUCUUCAUAUGAUGGCAGGAACUUUAUAUGUUAUAGAAGUUAGCCCCAAGAAUGAAAUCGUGUCCUUUGCCAAAACAUGGAUGGAGCUAGAGGCCUUUAUCCUAAGGUGCUCUAUGCUUAGCCCAUCAUAGAUUGUGGCCCUUCAUUCCUGCAUUUGAUGAAUCCAGGGAACCCUCUCUCCAACACCCUUGGCCUCUCUGCAACUUUCUAACAUCAGGCAGAGUCAGAGGCACCAUCCCCAGAAGCUACAAAUCUUCAGCAUUCUCCACUCUGUGAAGUCAGAGGAAUGGCGGGACCAUAGCUCUGAGCUCAUUGGCAAAUACAACUAAUUUCAAUUUCUGGAAUGGAAGCAGUCAGAUAUUCUUCUGACUGCACGCGUAUGUGGGAGUGCCAUGUUGAAGAGUGGAAAAUAUGGAAGAUCAGUCCCUACAAACUUAAUAGGAGAAUGACAUUCAGAUUUCCCGAGUAUUUUGCAUGUCCAACUGAAAACUGAAGUAGGUUUAUGAGAGAAUGCACGCCUACCUGGAUGGGUCUGGGGAGUGUGUCACUGUCACCGCAGAUAAUUGACAAGGGCUGAUCAAAUAGCGAUGCUUUCAAGUCUGUCUCCAAAGCCCCAGAAAAAUCUGAUGCAGGGGAGAGCCUUCUCAUGAGAAAGGGCCAGGACAGCACCUUCUUUCUCUUCUUAACUUCUACAGCCAAGAAAACAAGGCAACGAGAAAAAUUAGACUACAGUGUUAAGAAGCAAAGAUCCAGGUGACUGGUCACCUUGGGUUUUCCAGGUUGCUGCUUUAGGACAGAGGCAAAUACGAAUCGCUGCGGGAAGCCUUGAACCUAGAUCUGGCAACUGGGAAUUAUCAGCAAAACGUUAUCAAGAUAUUCUGUCCUUCUGAAAUCCACAAGAUGUGUGUGCAAUGGAUAUUGCAAUCUCAAACAUUUCCUUCUUUCUUUUCUUUUCCUUCCUUCCUUCCUUCUCCUUUCUUACUAAUUAUAAAGGCUAUAUUUUCUAAAUGCA